CCUACGGGAGGCAGCAGUGGGGAGUAUUGCACAAUGGAGGAAACUCUGAUGCAGCGACGCCGCGUGAAUGAUGAAGGCCUUCGGGUCGUAAAAUUCUGUCCUAGGGGACGAUAAUGACGGUACCCUAGGAGGAAGCCCCGGCUAACUACGUGCCAGCAGCCGCGGUAAUACGUAGGGGGCAAGCGUUGUCCGGAUUUAUUGGGCGUAAAGGGUACGCAGGCGGUCUUAUAAGUCAGAUGUGAAAUCUUACGGCUCAACCGUAAUCAGCAUUUGAAACUGGAAGACUUGAAUCAAGGAGAGGAAAGUGGAAUUCCUAGUGUAGCGGUGAAAUGCGUAGAUAUUAGGAGGAAUACCAGUGGCGAAGGCGACUUUCUGGACUUGUAUUGACGCUGAGGUACGAAAGCGUGGGGAGCGAACAGGAUUAGAUACCCUGGUAGUCCACGCCGUAAACGAUGAGUGCUAGGUGUCGGGUGUCAAAGCUCGGUGCCGCAGCUAACGCAUUAAGCACUCCGCCUGGGGAGUACGUACGCAAGUAUGAAACUCAAAGGAAUUGACGG
rnacentral:rRNA from 1 species